rnacentral:rRNA from 1 species
CCUACGGGUGGCUGCAGUCGAGGAUCUUCGGCAAUGGGGGCAACCCUGACCGAGCGACGCCGCGUGUGCGACGAAGGCCUUCGGGUUGUAAAGCACUGUCGAGGGGGAGGAAACCCGCAAGGGCUGACCUAUCCCUGGAGGAAGCACGGGCUAAGUUCGUGCCAGCAGCCGCGGUAAGACGAACCGUGCGAACGUUGUUCGGAAUCACUGGGCUUAAAGGGCGCGUAGGCGGCCCGCCGCGUCCGGGGUGAAAUCCUCCCGCUCAACGGGAGAACGGCCUCGGAUACGGGCGGGCUGGAGGGGGGUAGGGGCACGCGGAACUGUGGGUGGAGCGGUGAAAUGCGUUGAGAUCCACAGGAACUCCGGUGGCGAAGGCGGCGUGCUGGACCCCAUCUGACGCUGAGGCGCGAAAGCCAGGGGAGCGAACGGGAUUAGAUACC